UGCGCAGGCGGAACUUUAAGUCAGUGGUGAAAUCUUGCCGCUUAACGGUAAAAUUGCCAUUGAUACUGAAGUUCUUGAAUAUGGUUGAGGUAGGCGGAAUGUGUUGUGUAGCGGUGAAAUGCAUAGAUAUGACACAGAACGCCGAUUGCGAAGGCAGCUUACUAAGCCAUUAUUGACGCUGAGGCACGAAAGCGUGGGGAGCGAACAGGAUGAGAUACCCUGGUAGUC
rnacentral:rRNA from 1 species